UGCAGUUAAAUUUGCGAAGAGCUUUGAAGACGACGACCGCAUAAGAGGCCACGUACUUCACUGAAUGCGUAGAGGGCACACUUUUUUGUGUGUUACAGCUUCACCACCACAUAUUCAUGGAGACUAGAGGUCAAUUUGUCAAGAUUUAUCAGGUUAUCCGGAGUAAGGAAGGUCCAAAGAUGCUCAAAGUGGCCAGAAUUGCCCUCCACAGGCUGCUCCACACACAGGCGAGGUACCAGCCAGCUGCUUCCCAGAGCAUCAGCUUCCAAAGUGAGCUGCACCCUGGACUCAAAACAACUUCUUUUGAAAUCAAGGAGUCUAAAGUAGAAGAAAACGGCUGUAUUUUAAGGUGGAGAAAUCCUGUCUCCAGGCUGGGCAGCCCCUUCUCUUUCACAGAGAACUCAGCAAGGAGCUGGCAAGCUGGUUUGCUGGACAAAAAAAAAAAAAAAAAAAAUUUGUGAGCUCAUAACUUCUCACCAAGUAACAGGACAACAUUGAUACCACUGACUCACUCUGGGUAAGUCAGGUCUGCAACUGGAUUAAGGGAGAAGGGAGUGUUUCCAUCCGUUUUGGCUCCAUACUACCCCUCCUGCUGAAACAGCCUCCCGACUGUGAAGGAACUGCUUUGUGCUCCGCUCUGCCUUUUACUCCUGCUAGAUGGACCCCUACUGCAUUUUAAAGAGGAAAUCAGAUAGAGAAGGCGCUGAGGUGCUUCGGGGCCAUCUGUCUGGAGGGGGGCUUGCAUCCACCCCUCCUUGCUCCGUUCCCCCUCCUCCAGGGCAGAAAGCCAGAAGACGGGACAGGCCGGAGGCAACGACACCCCCCAGCUCCCCAUCCCCACCAGCGGGGAAGCAGCCGAGAGCUGGGUUGCCGCAAGUGCGUACAUUUAAUCCGGCCUGCACAUUUGGCAGGCAGCAGGACAAGAGCGCUCCUGCGUGCGGAGGCACUGGCUUUGCCUGGCUCUGGAAAGCCAUAAUCUUCCGUCUGAGAGGCUGCGGCAGGGGAAAACCACUCCAACAAGCUGUCACAAUUGCUCCUUUUCCUACAAUAAGCAGGAUGCAUACAGAAAUUCAGGGCAGAUACCCCAUGACUGCUCCAGUCCUGUGGCAGAGGUGAUUUUUUUGGAACCCAAGGACUCCCCAAACCUCUGUAAAUGCUCCUACAACUGAGAUACAGAAGAAAAGGAGGUGCUAGCACAUCCUCUUCUGGAUGUGCUUUCUGAAGGAGCCCAGGUGAUUAGGAACUGGAUAAAGCCUUGCAGUAAAGGUGGGCAGAGAAGAUAUGAGCCAGAGCUUAACCACAGAAGACUGGCAGGGAUGGCUGGCACCAGCUGCGCUGAGACAACCUGAGCAGCCUCAGAAGCAGAGCCAGAGGCCCAGCAGGAACUGUGGUAUCUAAACCCCAGGGCCUCCAGAUACCAGGUGCCAGCUGAACACAGGACACCUGAAAACUAAAUGCUAAACACCUGCAUGUCUAAAGGGUCAGCAGGAUCACGGAUUUUGCCCAAGUCUCUCUCUCAGUUGUCACUGGGGACACACAUUAAGGUCUAAUGGAUAAGAUGGAAUUUGAAGAAAAAAAUCGCUGCCACAGAUUUUUUGCACAAUGUUUUGGGGUGACAUUGACCUCCAGCUUCUCGCAUAGGCCUUCUGGAAACUCGACUCCAGGCCGUUUUGAUCAGGAAUGGAGAGGAAGGCUACGAUUAUCAGAUCCAGGGGUUUCUUAACUGUGCUCUAUCUGUCUGUCAUCACUGCCAGAAAUAUACUUUUCAAUCAAGCUAAGUAAAAGAAGUCAAUACUCAGUCUCUUGAGGACUUCUCUAACAAACUCUCUAUACGAAAUAUCAGCGGUGCUUUGGCCAAGACAGCUGAACUCGGGCUUGACAGGUCUGCAGAUGCAGCUGGUCGUACAGACAAAGGACUGCUUGGACAAGAGGAAGCAAGGAGAAGGUCGAACAGAGGGAGCCAUCUAGGAGCCUUUUGCUCAACCCUCAAGUCAGCUCUUCAGAAAGAAGAAUACUGCCCUGGUUAGGCUUCAGGCUUCUCUAUUACGGCAAACGGCAUAUGAGGUUCUUGCAACCAAAACCAAACCUGCAGCUUACUGAGCUUCAGUAAUGUAAGUCAUUCUGGUGGAUGCACCAGGCUUAGGGUUCACUAAGAAAACCAAUAAGGGUUUAUAGAUACUUUCUAUCUCACUUAAGGAUUUUGAAGCAUUUCUAUAAGCCAUUAUGUGGUCCUCAACAAAUUGUGUGACAGAUUUUAGUCCUUAAACCGAUAAAUUAUUAAAAACCUUUCAAAUGAACAGAAAGGUUCCUUUCUUAGGAAAAAACCCAAACCAACCCUUCACCAACUAGUGAAUACACAGGGCAUCUAUAAAAGGCACAAAGAUAUCCUUCCUUAAUGACAUUGUGAGCUGAGGGCUUCCAAAAGUUGCAUGUUGUUGUAGAGUAUUGACCUGGGUCAUGAAGUUCAGCUAUUGCAAGGGAAACUCAUAACCUGUGAGCCUUGCUCAGGAGGCAGAAAUACUUACAGACAGGAAAAGCUUGUGUCACCACGAGCUCAGCCCCCGCAGGCUGUCUGCCCCCAGGCAUCUCCAUCAGGUCUUUGUGUCCCAGGUUUCUGCUUGCAAUCAGGAGCGUCCCUGCUCUGGGAUGUCCUGAGCUGCAGACGGUUCAGGCCAGGCUGCGCAGAGCUGCAAUGGUUAAGGCUGCAACUGAAAGCUCAAGCAAACCCUCCCAGCCAGGAGAGAGGGAGACCAGCUGUGCUUGCUGUGGUGUCUGAAAAGUGAUAGCAAAGUGCCAGGAGAAAAUUGCUCAGCCACAUCUGCGUUCACCAGAGCGACAGCGUGGGAAAAUUGGACAACCGAGCCUUGAUUAAGCAGAAGAUACCCAGAGUCUGAUUUUUUGCAGCCCUGGCAAGAGCAUUACAUGCCAAGGACACGCGGAUGGGAAAAACUGAAACUCAGUAAAGUCAUUUGGUGAGUGCAUGAUUUGAAUGCAGUACUAACAGUGGGAGCCCAAAGGCACAUGCAGCGUGAGCCUGAUGUCCUCAGCCAAUAGGAAGGGGUGGUAGGUGCCUAAUUAAAAGCUACUAACCAAAGGAGGAACACAAGCUGUGAUUUGGGAGAGGCUUUCACCAACAAAAGUACGGCUGGCAUCUCCUCAGGUUAAUAACUGCUUACUGUCUGCAGAGAGACUGAUCGACCUGCAGGCAGCUCUGGAAAGAGCAGAUCGAUAAAAAACUGCUGCUCACCUCCAGAAACCAUUUAUGACACAAACUGUGGGUCGUGCAGCUGAAAAGCACGGGGGGAGCGAGAGCUUCCCACGCUGCUCCAGAAACAGUGCGGCAAUGAGGUCAUUUUCCAAUCCCUCACGAGCACCACGCACCCCAUCCUGGAGGUAUGCGCACCAUCAUGAGCUGGGCUGGAGGAAGGGUGAACCAGCCUGCGAGCAAGUGGCUGGAUGAACGCCGCCGAGGUGCCGCCUUUCUCACGCAAGCACCGCUGAGAAGCAAGCGAUAAGCUCCCACGGCCAAGCCGCCGUCUCAUGGGUCUGUGGAGAGCGGCGGGAUGGUUACGGCGUUUUCUGCCGCUUCUGCAAGGUUCCCUUAUCAGCUUCAACAUCUGGUUUGCACUCUUCGGCAUUUCCUAUGCUGCACUGCAAAACACCUUUCAUCUAGCAAGGCCAUGUCGAGCAAAUGAAGUGAAACAUUUCUUUCCCUAAAUCAGAACCAGCAAUCGUGGCAGGUUCUUGUAGGGUGUUGAUGGCUAAGCGCUUCGCUGCAGCACCUCAACGUUGCGUGAGGAGGAGGUUAUUUCUAGCUUCGAGACAGCCUCACAUCACAGCACCCGCUGACCCCCAGCCCGGCGAAGGCGACCCCCCGCCACAUCGCAGUCUCUGGGAGCUGGAGCGGGUCCGGGGCACAGGCUUCCCCCACAUCUGUGCUAACGAAGACGUGCGAAAACAUUACUUUCCCUUCGCAAACUGUACAUUCAGUCAAAAUUAAAACCAAACAAAUGGCUCCCAGCAAACCGAGCGUUCCACCAGCGCGGUCGGGGAAAUGAGUUCUGGCAGAGCCUGUCACCCCAUGGGUGCGGCAGAUGUACCCCAGAGUGUGGUGGGGAUGGUCAGGGUAUGGACCAUCACCUCAAAAUCACUGCACGGGAGUUGGGUUUACUAAAGAGGACGGGGGCUUUUUGGUCACUCAUGGAGGCAACAUGCUCCUUCCAAGAAAUAUAUAUGUACACACUCGGUUGCGAGCCAAGCCUGGCUGCUAGUAGCUUAGCUGACAAUGAUUAAAUAACCGGUUUAUGCUAGAUGAGAAGCUCGUCCACACCAGCUAGAGCAGCUCCUCUGGCACUGGUUCAUACACUGGGGAGGCCCCUCAUUCCAGGCCAGCAUGGUCCCUCCUCACGCAGGUUUCUGGCAGCCUCCAAACAACAAAACCUCCAGAGAGGUGCAUGGGGUUGCAUGAAACACCAAACCACCACCACCUCCGAACAGGACUGCUUAAACCUCAAACAGCUCAGAGAGCAGCUCCCACACACAACCAGGGGGAGCGGUCAGGGACGGCCGCCAUUCAGAUCAACCCCACAGUUAGAAAAGGGUUGAGAGUUUGUGCUGCUGCUGCAGUUGUUGAAGAAAGCAGCAAGAAAUGAAAUACAGCAGAGGUCACAGAAAAAGCGAGCCGCGUGGUGUGCAGCCCACAGCAACAAAGGAGGCAUUUUUGUCAGGGAGGCCUGGACAGGCAGCUCUUGCAGGAAAACCCUCUCCAGAGAUGGAGGGAGGCGCAGUAACGCUCAGCUUUCAGCAGUGGGGGAGCGCCUGUGUCCGUGCAUUAGGAUGAGCUACAGAGGCGGGUGCAAGCUCCCAGGACCUCAGUUGCAACACUGCCUUGCAGGGCUGGGACAAUAAAUCCUCCCCCUGCUCCACUCUUGUCACUCACAGACGAUGGGGCAGAGCACAGCUCUCCACUGCCUCCCGGUCCUCUGCAUCCCCCAGCUCACGGAGAGGGGGAGCAUCGCUGGGUCUCGCCCAGCAGAGCCUCCUCCAGUGCAGGACUGGGCAACUGUCCCAACCAACGCCAGGGAUCUCCUUCUCCAGCUGGGACACCUACCUCUGCCCUUCUCCCGCCUGUCAGAAGGGCAGGGCAAGCGCUGCAUUGCUGCUGGGACAGGGGACGGCUGCAGCAGCACCACAGUCCUGGGGAGACAGCGACCCUCAGCCCACCUGAGAGUGCUGCGGAAGAAGAGAUCAGGCCUGCCCUGAGCCAUUUCCCCCACAGAAGCAGAUGGGCAGACUGAACAACGGGAUGGAACAGAGGAAUCAAACGUACAACUGAAACAACAGGGAGGUGCUGCCGUGCACCUUUUCCAUGAUUCGCUUAAAGCAAAGCAAGUAUAUGGAGAGGGCAAAAGAAGUUGGAGGUGAUUCAAUGACUACGAAAAAUAAACAACGGAUAUUCCCUGAGGCUGGAAGGAAGGAAGGAAGGAAGGAAAUGCUGGAAAGCAACACCCAACCUACCACCAUAAAGACCAGCCAAGAGCUCACCUGGCAAGAUGGCAGCGCUGGCUCUGCGGGAACCUGCAGUGCUGCCGAGGCCAUGGCUUUCCAAGCAGCAAGGGGCUUCUCCCAAGGCAGAGAGGAGUUGGGUGCUGGAGCUGAAGGCACUGCUAGCCCCAACGCAGGUGUUGAGCACCUCCCCUACUUCCUCCCCUUCCGCCCUCUUCAGCAGAUUAAGAUAGUUAACAGCUGUCUUUAAUGAGCUCAUUUGCCCACUGGCAAUCAGGCCUCUCAGCCACAUUUUCAGGCUCAUUUCUGCAAGCGCAAUGACAAGCUGGUUGUUGCUCCUUGGAGCAGCUGGAAGAGUCCUGCAUGGACAGACCCACCAAUUGCCACUGUGCUGAUGACACAGUCACAACAGCAAGCAGCAACUGUGCUUCUCCUGGUGAGCCUGCCUUCAGGGACUUGGACCAUCCCACACACGCUUUGAAACCCACACAGGUUAUUUGCAGCUUGGUCUGGCCAGUCCAAAUCCCUCCCUGCAGAAUCUCCACACCAUACCAGCCCCCCUUACCAAGAAACAGGGUCCCCAUGGAGCACUGCCCUCUCCUACAGGAAAGCUGUGCUGGAUGCUCCUCUUCCCUUGGCCCUCCAGCUUAAUGCUGUGAGGGGCUUGCUGCAGCUUGGUGAGGCUAGGGCAGCUGAACACCCCCUGCAGGAGAUGCUGGCUUUGUCCAAACACUGUCUCUUGUAGUACCUACAAACCUUCAUGAAAUGUGCCAGGGAUAUUCCCUGGCUCCGGGAUGGAAAUUCUGGACAAAGCAGGCAGGCUUGGCCAAGAUGUCCUGUAUGUCCUGUCCAAGGACAGCAGUAACUUGGUACCCCCAGUUCCCAAUGCACAUCUAAGAAGCUGCAAAGCCACUGGGAGCAGGGCGGGCCGUCACUUCUCCCACAUCUUGUCUUAGGAAAACACUUCAUGUCCUGUUUAUGUAGCAUGCGCACCAGGACAGAAGUCAACACUGAAUGGCUGGAACUGCCCAUGAUUCCCUCUCCCACUCCAUCACCAGCCCUACCAGUGAACUGUGCAGGCUAUUCCUCUUUUACACUAGUAUUUUUGGUUUUCCCCUUGCAAUCUUAAGCAUUUCUUGGGUUAACCGAGUACUACUUUUGCUGAAGAUUCCCAAAAAACCAGUACCGGUUUCAGAGAGAUCAGUGAAGCUCCCAAUCCUACUAUAAGGAAUUCCUGGCACAAGGCAAGAAAUUAGGAGUUAAUUUUGCCUAUGACAAUGAGAUGUCUUUAGAGCAAACUCUCCAUUUUCACUCUAGUAGUUACAAUCAUUUUGGUACAAAGAACUUUGCAGUGGAAUUAUUUAUUUCAUCUUCCCCUUUACUGUAGGAGGAAUGAUAUUAAACUGAGCCCAAAUCCACUUGCAUUCGGUGGAUUGCUAAUUAAGCUACAGAUGUCUCCUGAUGGCAGCAAUUAUUCCUGGUAACCUUAAUGACCUUGUUACAUUCCUUAGUUAUUGUUAUGAAAAGCUAUAUGAAAUACUUUGCCUAAUACUACACA